UGCAUCGCACUCAUCAGGGUGUUUGCUCUUUUCCAUCCAAGCCAAAGAGCAACUUCAGUGUGCUCUGAACCGUGGACGUGAGAGUGUGUGUUUGUGUGCUGCGUGAACUAUUUUUCCUGCGUGUUCUUUCUGCUUCAUCGGAGGACGAAUUUUUAUCAUCUAAUUGUUUGGUUUCAGAUGUGUGCUGCUACCGCUAGCUGUUCCUCAAACUACUUAAAAAGUGUGACACUGUGUGCACAGGUGUUCAAGUUUCAAUUGAUCCUCAAGCACAAAGCCUUCAUACAACACAGCGGUUGAGGCGCGCCAAAUCUGAUGACAUCUUUCCUGAACCAAGCAGGCUGAACACGCGAACCACCACGGGCUCCAGCGCGGUGUGAAGAGGGAAGAAGAAAAGACAGAAUUGGAAACAGCCGCACCAGGCUUCCAACCACCGUGUGUGUGUGUAUGUAAGUAUGUGAGAACACAUGUGUGAAUCCUCUU